UAGGGAAUCUUCCACAAUGGGCGAAAGCCUGAUGGAGCAACGCCGCGUGUGUGAUGAAGGGUUUCGGCUCGUAAAACACUGUUGUAAGAGAAGAAUGACAUUGAGAGUAACNGUUCAAUGUGUGACGGUAACUUACCAGAAAGGAACGGCUAAAUACGUGCCA
rnacentral:rRNA from 1 species